CCUAACACAUGCAAGUCGAGCGCGAAAGUCCCCUCGGGGGCGAGUAGAGCGGCGGACGGGUGAGUAAUACGUGGAUAAUCUGCCCUUGAGCUCGGGAUAACCCCGCGAAAGUGGGGCUAAUACCGGAUAAGACCACGUGACCCAAGUCACGGGGUAAAAGGUGGCCUGUAUUCAUACAUGCUAUCACUUGAGGAUGAAGUCCACGGCCCUAUCAGCUUGUUGGUGAGGUAAUGGCUCACCAAGGCUAUGACGGGUAGCUGGUCUGAGAGGACGAUCAGCCACACUGGGACUGAGACACGGCCCAGACUCCUACGGGAGGCAGCAGUGGGGAAUAUUGGGCAAUGGGCGAAAGCCUGACCCAGCGACGCCGCGUGGGCGAUGAAGGCCUUCGGGUCGUAAAGCCCUGUCAUGCGGAAAGAAAAGUCCCGCGAUUAAUACUCGCGGGAUGUGACGGUACCGCAGAAGGAAGCACCGGCUAACUCCGUGCCAGCAGCCGCGGUAAUACGGAGGGUGCAAGCGUUGUUCGGAAUUACUGGGCGUAAAGGGCGCGUAGGCGGUAAUAUAAGUCAAAUGUGAAAUCCUCCAGCUUAACUGGAGAACAGCAUCUGAAACUGUGUAACUAGAGUACAGGAGAGGGAAACGGAAUUCCCGGUGUAGAGGUGAAAUUCGUAGAUAUCGGGAGGAACACCAGUGGCGAAGGCGGUUUCCUGGCCUGAUACUGACGCUGAGGCGCGAAAGCGUGGGGAGCAAACAGGAUUAGAUAUCCUGGUAGUCCACGCUGUAAACGGUGAGCACUAGGUGUGGGAGGUGUAUACCUUCUGUGCCGAA
rnacentral:rRNA from 1 species